UGGGGAAUAUUGGACAAUGGGGGAAACCCUGAUCCAGCAAUGCCGCGUGAGUGAAGAAGGCCUUAGGGUUGUAAAGCUCUUUCGCCCGCGAAGAUAAUGACGGUAGCGGAAGAAGAAGCCCCGGCUAACUCCGUGCCAGCAGCCGCGGUAAUACGGAGGGGGCUAGCGUUGUUCGGAAUUACUGGGCGUAAAGCGUACGUAGGCGGAUGCGCAAGUUGGGGGUGAAAUCCCGGGGCUUAACCUCGGAAUCGCCCUCAAAACUGCACGUCUUGAGACCGAGAGAGGUAAGGGGAAUUCCUAGUGUAGAGGUGAAAUUCGUAGAUAUUAGGAAGAACACCAGUGGCGAAGGCGCCUUACUGGCUCGGUACUGACGCUGAGGUACGAAAGCGUGGGGAGCAAACA
rnacentral:rRNA from 1 species